rnacentral:rRNA from 1 species
AGUGAACGCUGGCGGUAGGCCUAACACAUGCAAGUCGAACGGCAGCACAGUAAGAGCUUGCUCUUACGGGUGGCGAGUGGCGGACGGGUGAGGAAUACAUCGGAAUCUACUUUUUCGUGGGGGAUAACGUAGGGAAACUUACGCUAAUACCGCAUACGACCUACGGGUGAAAGCAGGGGAUCUUCGGACCUUGCGCGAUUGAAUGAGCCGAUGUCGGAUUAGCUAGUUGGCGGGGUAAAGGCCCACCAAGGCGACGAUCCGUAGCUGGUCUGAGAGGAUGAUCAGCCACACUGGAACUGAGACACGGUCCAGACUCCUACGGGAGGCAGCAGUGGGGAAUAUUGGACAAUGGGCGCAAGCCUGAUCCAGCCAUACCGCGUGAGUGAAGAAGGCCUUCGGGUUGUAAAGCCCUUUUGUUGUGUAAGAAAAGCAGCAUGUUAAUACCCCGCUGUUCUGACGGUACCCAAAGAAUAAGCACCGGCUAACUUCGUG